AUUGAACGCUGGCGGAAUGCUUUACACAUGCAAGUCGAACGGCAGCACGGGGGCAACCCUGGUGGCGAGUGGCGAACGGGUGAGUAACACAUCGGAACGUGCCCAUGUCGUGGGGGAUAACGUAGCGAAAGCUACGCUAAUACCGCAUACGAUCUACGGAUGAAAGCGGGGGACCGCAAGGCCUCGCGCGAUUGGAGCGGCCGAUGGCAGAUUAGGUAGUUGGUGGGGUAAAGGCUCACCAAGCCUGCGA
rnacentral:rRNA from 1 species